rnacentral:rRNA from 1 species
CCCUUAGAUGUUCUGGGCUGCACGCGCGCUACACUGACACUUCCAACGAGUUCUUCCUUGUCCGGUAGGAUUGGGUAAUCUUUUGAAAGAGUGUCGUGAUAGGGAUAGAUUAUUGAAAUUAUUAAUCUUGAACGAGGAAUUCCUAGUAAACGCAGAUCGUCAAUCUGCAUUGAUUACGUCCCUGCCCUUUGUACACACCGCCCGUCGCACCUACCGAUUGGAUGGUCCGGUGAAGCCUCGGGAUUGUGGUUCUUGCCGCUUUAUUGUGGCGUGACCGCGAGAACUUGUCUAAACCUUAUCAUCUAGAGGAAGGUGAAGUCGUAACA